rnacentral:rRNA from 1 species
GAUGCAGCGACGCCGCGUGAGGGAGUGACGGCCUUCGGGUGUAAACCUCUUCAGCUCCGACGAAGCGUAAGUGACGGUAGGAGCAGAAGAAGCGCCGGCCAACUACGUGCCAGCAGCCGCGGUAAGACGUAGGGCGCAAGCGUUGUCCGGAUUUAUUGGGCGUAAAGAGCUCGUAGGCGGCGUGUCGCGUCGACUGUGAAAACCCGCAGCUCAACUGCGGGCCUGCAGCCGAUACGGGCAGGCUAGAGUUCGGUAGGGGAGACUGGAAUUCCUGGUGUAGCGGUGAAAUGCGCAGAUAUCAGGAGGAACACCGGUGGCGAAGGCGGGUCUCUGGGCCGAUACUGACGCUGAGGAGCGAAAGCGUGGGGAGCGAACAGGAUUAGAUACCCUGGUAGUCCACGCUGUAAACGUUGGGCGCUAGGUGUGGGGGGCCUCUCCGGUCCUCUGUGCCGCAGCUAACGCAUUAAGCGCCCCGCCUGGGGAGUACGGCCGCAAGGCUA